rnacentral:rRNA from 1 species
GAUGAACGCUGGCGGUAUGCUUAACACAUGCCAGUCGAACGGACUCUUCGGAGUUAGUGGCGGACGGGUGAGUAACGCGUGAGAAUCUGGCUUUGGGUUCGGGACAACCACUGGAAACGGUGGCUAAUACCGGAUGUGCCGAGAGGUAAAAGAGAAAUUGCCUGAAGAUGAGCUCGCGUCUGAUUAGCUAGUUGGUGAGGUAAAGGCUCACCAAGGCAGCGAUCAGUAGCUGGUCUGAGAGGAUGACCAGCCACACUGGGACUGAGACACGGCCCAGACUCCUACGGGAGGCAGCAGUGGGGAAUUUUCCGCAAUGGGCGAAAGCCUGACGGAGCAAUACCGCGUGAGGGAAGAAGGCUCUUGGGUUGUAAACCUCUUUUCUUAGGGAAGAACAAAAUGACGGUACCUAGGGAAUCAGCAUCGGCUAACUCCGUG